CAUUUUAAGCGGCACAUUUCUUCCGUUUUUGCCAAAGUGGUUUAGGGGUCCCGAGAAGCUGCCAUUUCCAACCAGUCACAGAGACUGAGUGAAGACGAGAGAUAGAGAGAGGUUGCUGGUUUAUGGUCCAUACGGAGACUGGAGUAGAAGAGACAAGCCCUAAAACCAUCAAUAAUGACAAUCAUCCAUAGGUCUUACGGAAUAGUAAAAACAAAGAAAACCAGCAGGAAUUGAAGACCCAGAACAAAGGGGUCAAGCAGAGGACAGGAGAUGUUACAGAAGAUGGAGUCACAGCAUCAUGCCAGACACCGUUACCCUGGAACGAGAGAGAGUUUAGGUCACAUUAAAUGGUUGCUCUGUCAAACCUACGUUUAAUGCGUGAGGGCUGUAAAGCGGGUUUCCCCGAAGACCAUCGCUGUAACCCAACGACUGACCGAUACUGUGACGUAUGGAGUCUCCCUGCAGACAAACAAGAUGGACACAUUACAGACUGGUACGAGCUCCCGUUCAGACUGGGCAGAUUCAUGAACAUGUCUCCUGAACCUGUCAAACUGUACGCACCUGAGGAACCUGCACAGAUGAAGAAACCGUCAGUGUGACAGAAAGGACCAAACAUACGCCUGUGAUCACAGACAUCUCACACAGACAUAACACAGAGAAAAAAACGUCAGACAUUUCAUCUGUGGCACAGGACACGACCCUCAUCACUUUUAUUGACUGUAUUCUACUGUACAGUGGAGGUUUGAAGUAUCAUGAGGUAAGAGAGCAAAAACAGUUUAAGCAUUGUUCUCAUAGCCUAAAUAAAUACGUUAUUUUGUGUACUGUGCUAAUUGUUGGCUCUUAAGCGUCUGCUAAAUGAAAAUGUAUAAAUAUUCUUAUUUGCCUGCGUUUUUUUCAAAUGUUCGGCUCUGUUCCAAACCCCAGUGAGCUGCCUAAGGAGGGAGCAUUUUAAUACUACAGCAAGUCUGACAAUAAAGACAUCAUUUUUAAAGAAUAAAGUAUGAGAGUAAAGUUGACGCUUUAUGAGAUUACAUUGUAACGGUACACGAAAAGAGUCAUAUACUUCCCCCGUGAACCGGAAGUUGCGAACGUUUUUACUUCUGUAUUUUGACGCAUUUCCAGGUGAAAUGAAAUUUCGAAUGAGAAAAAUAGUGGGCGUGGCUUUCGUCUUUAUCUGCAAGUUGAUUGGAUCUAUAAAAACAGCCGUUGCAUUUUGAAAUAGAACUGGCAAAAGACUGACAGUUGAAGGGGAGGAGUUAACGGAUGCUCCGCCCAAGCCGUCUAACAUGCGUCAUUUAAGAUGUAUAGUCAUUACAGGACGGAAGCGCAUUUUCAGAUUUUAACUAUGAGUGUUUGAUUCAGGUGAAGAGG